AAGAACUUAAGUUAAGCCUAAAACUUUUGACCUUCAAAGUCAUAUAUAGAUAAUAAAUAUCUAGAUCUUA
rnacentral:tRNA from 1 species